UACAGAGGGUGCGAGCGUUGUCCGGAUUUAUUGGGCGUAAAGAGUUUGUAGGCGGCUAAGCAAGUCAGAAGUGAAAUAAUGGGGCUCAACUCCAUCCACGCUUUUGAAACUACUUGGCUAGAGACAGUUAGAGGUGAAUGGAAUUCCCAGUGUAGCGGUGAAAUGCGUAGAUAUUGGGAGGAACACCAGAGGCGAAAGCGAUUCACUGGAACUGUUCUGACGCUGAGAAACGAAAGCUAGGGUAGCAAAU
rnacentral:rRNA from 1 species